rfam:Triticum aestivum genome assembly, contig: Triticum_aestivum_CS42_TGACv1_scaffold_130460_2BL
CAAAUACUCCCUCCGCUCGAAAAUAGUUGUCAUCAAAAUGAACAAAAGGGGAUGUAUCUAGACAUAUUUUAGUUAUAGAUACGCCCCUUUUUAUCCAUUUUGAUGACAAGUAUUUUCGGACGGAGGGAGUAACAC